ensembl:lncRNA
CAGAAAGCCCCAUAUUUGCUGGAAAGCUGUUGUGUUCAUGGUAUGGUGAAUGUACCCUGGUGUUGGAGAACAUAAACCAGGCUCAAAUUGCUUAUGGAAUAAACAAAGAAGAACUGGGAGAACAGGACACGAAUCUCCCAAGGACAAGGAAAGGAAACUACUCAGAGUGGAAUGAGACAAAGUGGACUGAUGUGCGGAAAUCAGACCCUAUAGCCAGUAAGGAUAUAGAGCAGGUUUGAUCACUGCGAGAUGUGACCGUGAUGUGACCAUGAUCACUCCAGUGUUGAGUGCAGCAAAUAGCUGCCCAUGUCAUGGAGGGGUUCGAGUAGAAGGUAAUCCUUCAGCUAUUGUUAUUUAGAGAGGAACUGGAAUCACACUUGCUUGCAAACAGAUGAGAAGGCAGGUCACUUUCCUGAAGGUAGAGCCUGUAUAGAACACGUACAGAGGAGAGAGAUGUCAGGAGUGAAUUGACAAAAAAGGCUUUCUGCAUAUCCUGCUGCUCUGCCUAGGAGGUAAAGAGGAAUAAUCUUCUUGCAAACCACAGGAAGCAGGCACGCUUUAAGUACUGAAGUACUGAAGUCCAUGUCAGGUUUCCCCAGAGCCUUCUCUUCUCCAGAAUGAAGAAACACAACUCUCUCAGCUUGUCUUCACAGGAGAGGUGCUCCAGCCCUCUGAUCAUCUUUGUGGCCUCCUCUGGACAUCUGAGGUUCUUAAUCAUCCACAGUAUGGAGGUUUCCCAUGACCUUGACGAUAAUUCGUUACGAAAUUUUAUUCUGCUUCAGUUAUAGUCUGGGGUAUUAGUUAAAAGACAAAUGUCAUUAGAAUAAAUAUUUUCAGGGUGAUUGUGAGGUGAGAAUAAAGAUAUUUCCAAAUGAACAAUACCACAUGAAACAAACAGAAACUCUAUUUAGUUAUGGAGAAAAGGGACUUCUAACACAUUUGUGACAUAAUUAACUUAAUGGAAUCUCCAUUGCUUGGAGAGAUUUCAAACCACGUUUACCAGAAUAAUCUCAGACUGUAGCGCAAAGCUAACAAGUGACAGACAAUAUUAUGUGGAUUUUUUUACCUCUGUCUCCAUUUCUAAGGAGUAUGCAGUAAGUAAGACACAGUGCCUCCAUUUUCAAAACACCAUGGGGAAAAGAGGAAAGGUCUAUAUUUUUGUCUUCUUACUCCCAUGAGAGUCCUUGAGGCAUCAGCAGAGAAAAGUAGAGUAAGUAGUGCCUAAUUCAUUUGUUUAUAAACAUACUGUGAGUUUGGCAAUUAUUCUACAUAUUUAAGUGCCUCCUAAUUGCAGACACAGUAGCAUAUUUCAGCAAAUCAAAAUAAUUUAGCAAUGCAUAUUAAAAAUUUGACUUUGACCUCAGAUCCCUCUCUAUCCUCAAAAAAAAAAAAAAAAAAAAAAAGAAUUGUUAUAAAAUCUUCAGGAACAUGAUUUUUCUGCUUAGUAAGAUCCAUUUCAAUGAUGGUUCAAAAAGCAGAGGACUAAUAAUAGUAUUGUAGUACUCUGUAGUUCACUGGUUUGGCCUUCCAUCGCCUGGUUUAUCUACCCUAAGACCAAAUUAUUAUCCUAUAAUAAAAUGAAAAGCUGCUAUUAUUGCUUAAUGUAAGUACACUUAAAAUUAUUAUUAGUAGUGUGCUUGGUAAGGUUAAAUCACAAGGCCUUUGAUGCUAACUUCAAAAAUUACAUCUCCGAUUUAACUAGAAUAAAUGAGAUGGUUGCUUCUCUCUAAUUAGAGCCAAAAAUGUAUCUAUAGUACAUGGCAAUUUUCUGUCACUUAGCAGUAUAUUACAGCAACAUUUAUUACAUUCAUUAUAUUAUAAUUACAAUUCUCUUACAUUUACUUAGGAUCCAGUUCUCAGAAACCUAAGAAGAAAAGAAUCUUUUUUUUAAUUUUUAUUUUAUUUUUUUAACCAAAAGGAAGCCUGUGUAUCAAACUGAAGGUAAAGUUCCUUGCUCCAUGUAUGGAAUUACCAUGUUGCCACCUGUAGCUACACAUACAUUCACUGACCACUUUCAGGGGCAUGGUUUGCAAGCACAAAGCUGCAGGUGUUUUUUUUUUUUUUAAAGAUCAGUUCUUUUUGGUUCAUCCCUGAAUUUUUGGGCUUUUACUGCAGCAGUGUAUUUCUUUAAUCUUUUUAGACAGAAAAUGAUGAGCACUAGCUGAUGACCAACAAAUAGAAAGGGAACUCCAUCUGGUUUUAUUCUUGCAGAGAGCCAAAG